rnacentral:rRNA from 1 species
GAGUUUGAUCAUGGCUCAGAACGUACGCUGGCGGCACGCCUAACACAUGCAAGUCGAACGAAGUAGCAAUACUUAGUGGCGAACGGGUGAGUAUAAUGUGGGUAUCUGCCCUUUGGUUUGGAAUAACACGAGGAAACUUGUGCUAAUACCAGAUAAGCCUUUACAGGGAAAGCUUUAUGCGCCGAUGGAUGAGCCCGCACUUGAUUAGCUAGUUGGUAAGGUAAUAGCUUACCAAGGCUACGAUCAAUAGCUGAUCUGAGAGGAUGAUCAGCCACAUUGGGACUGAGACACGGCCCAAACUCCUACGGGAGGCAGCAGUGGGGAAUCUUGCACAAUGGGGGAAACCCUGAUGCAGCGAUGCCGCGUGAGUGAAGAAGGCCUUUGGGUUGUAAAGCUCUUUCGUCGGGGAAGAAAAUGACUGUACCCGAAUAAGAAGGUCCGGCUAACUUCGUGCCAGCAGCCGCGGUAAUACGAAGGGACCUAGCGUAGUUCGGAAUUACUGGGCUUAAAGAGCACGUAGGUGGUUAGAAAAGUUGGUGGUGAAAUCCCAAGGCUUAACCUUGGAACUGCCAUCAAAACUUUUUAACUAGAGUGUGAUAGAGGUAAGCGGAAUUUCUAGUGUAGAGGUGAAAUUCGUAGAUAUUAGAAAGAACACCAAUUGCGAAGGCAGCUUUCUGGAUCAUUACUGACACUGAGGUGCGAAAGCAUGGGUAGCGAAGAGGAUUAGAUACCCUCGUAGUCCAUGCUGUAAACGAUGUGUGCUAGACGUUGGAAAUUUAUUUUUCAGUGUCGCAGCAAAAGCGUUAAGCACACCGCCUGGGGAGUACGACCGCAAGGUUAAAACUCAAAUGAAUUGACGGGGACCCGCACAAGUAGUGGAGCAUGUGGUUUAAUUCGAAGAUACGCGCAGAACCUUACCAACACUUGACAUGUUCGUCGCGACUCUAAGAGAUUAGAGUCUUCGGUUCGGCCGGACGAAACACAGGUGCUGCAUGGCUGUCGUCAGCUCGUGUCGUGAGAUGUUGGGUUAAGUCCCGCAACGAGCGCAACCCUUACUUUUAGUUGCCACCAUUUAGUUGAGCACUCUAAAAGAACUGCCAGUGAUAAGCUGGAGGAAGGUGGGGAUGACGUCAAGUCCUCAUGGCCCUUACGUGUUGGGCUACACACGUGCUACAAUGGUAUUUACAAUGAGAUGCGAAGAGGCGACUCUAAGCUAAUCCCAAAAAAGUACCUCAGUUCGGAUUGCACUCUGCAACUCGAGUGCAUGAAGCUGGAAUUACUAGUAAUCGUGGAUCAGCGCGCCACGGUGAAUACGUUCCCGGGUCUUGUACACACCGCCCGUCACACCAUGGAAGUUGGUUACACCUUAAGGCAAAGCAUAAAACCUUUGACUACGGUACGAUCAGCGACUGGGGUGAAGUCGUAACAAGGUAGCCG